GUUCUGGUUACACCCUACCUUCCUUAUCGAGACAGGCCUGACUUGUUUGGGGACACCUGGACGCUCUCUCUAACGUUGUGUCACUUUCUGUAGACAACAGACACAGCAACACCUCAUUAUGGAUUUGCGAAUAAUUCUGCUUGUCGUGUUCAGUCUGACAAUGGCGUGGGGGGAGCCUGUUGCCAUGACACACGUGUCCAACUGUCCGACAUAUGAGGUGUGUCCUCUCCACCCACAGGCCAGGUGCUUCAAUGACUGCUGGACAUCACGUGGUCUACAAGAGUGUGGUUUCCAUUUCUAUGACGACCAGGACAGGAGAGUUAUCUGCUGGUUUCAAUAGUGUAAGGCGAAGGUGAAGAUCGACUGAAGAAACGCGCCUCUUGAAAUAAAGCUGUCAUGAGAAAA